rnacentral:tRNA from 1 species
ACGGAUAUGAUGAAAUAGGUAGACGUCUUAGAUUUAGAUUCUAAGGGCUUUUAGCUGUGAGGGUUCGAGUCCCUCUAUCCGUA